rnacentral:lncRNA from 1 species
AAAGCACAAUCAACUCAAGUGAGCCAAGCAUCCUACAAAACACAAAAGUUAGUUUACAACAAGCAACCAAACUCAAUUUAAUCAACUUGCAUUUUUCUCCUUAAAGCAUUUGCAUCUCAACCUGAAACACAACUCAAAAGUGAUAAACAAGACCACUAGGACAAGCCUAGGGUCCAAAGGAGAUGAAAAAUCCAAAACAGCAAGUGAAAAUUAAUCAAAAUCACAAUCAAACAAUUUAGAAACAAAU